rnacentral:snoRNA from 1 species
ACCCUCGUGGUGCUUACCACAGGCUGUGUUCUUGUCACUGACUGCAUAGAAAAAGGGGGCAAGGUGAAACACCCCAAAUAAACCUCAGCCCAGGGGGUCGGGCGGUAGCG